rnacentral:lncRNA from 1 species
GCCAGUGCCAUCAUCUGAUCUGAAUACAUUGACUCACAAUUUCAGAAAAACUUUAUCAUCACAAAUUUACAGAUUUACUCCAUGUACAGUUGGUGGUUGGUGCUUUCCAAUAUGCAACCAUUACAAGACAAGAAAUAAGCUAUGUUGUGAAUAAAGUUUGUAACUACAAGUGAUGCCCAAUGAAAUUUCAUCGGGCGGCGCUUAACAAACAAACAACCAAGCCUUAUCUCACACUAAGUGGGUCGGCUAUAGGAAUCAAUUUUCGCCAUAAUGUUCUAUCCAAUACCGUACUUAUAUCUAAAUCAUUAAUAUCAAGAUCUUUCUUAAUAACUUAUGUUAUAGUUUUUCUAGGUCUUCCUUUACCUCUAGUUGUUUGACUUCUCUUCAUCUGAUCUACUUUCCUCACCAUAGAAUCUACAUGUCUUCUGUCUCCAUGCCCAGACAACCUAAGUCUAUUUUUCAUCACCCAACGCAACAUCCUGUCUAGUCUAAUAUUGUCAUUUCUAAUCUUAUCGUGUCUAGUCUUCCCACUCAUCCAACCUAAGUCUAUAUUUUUUUGACUUAAACUAAAAGGGACGUCAAAUUGCAGUUUUCAAUUCUUCCUAACAAAGCCCCAUCAAUGUCUCCCUAUUAAACCUUUUGUGACGCAGACUUAACUUUAAAUCUUGAUGCUGCAAUGUACUUCACAAGCAAUUUCAUUAAUCUUUUGAGUAACCUUAUUUAUAACAGAGACAGUUAUAACCAACUCCUAACUAAUUCACAACUGUCUAAGAUCUCUUGGCGUUAGGUAGGUCCAAUCACAAUAACAGAAAUGUAAACUAUGCACCAUCUCUAACAUUCCUUCAAGUCUUCUAUCCUAAGAAUUAAAUUUUGUUUUUUCUUACACCAACACUUGUCUAUAACGCCAAUGUAGCCAACUAAAUCUCUAGAAAAAAUUGCAGUUUCAAAGCUGAACCCUAGCACCAUCUUCUAUGCAUCAAUUGUCACAAUAUGAAAUCUCAUGGAUAGAUUUUUUUUCAAAUUAAAUCAUUUCCAACAUCAACAAAUAACAAAAAAACUAGGAAGCAAUAGAGACCUCGUACAACAAAUUGAAAAAAAAAAACAUAUUGAACCUCAGCAAACUAACUAGGUAAAAAGAAACCCUAAAUUGUAUUAAUUCAACGAAGCAUACAAGAAAGAGGAAUAAGACUAACCGUAAUAUCGGGAAUUCAACAGUCGUUAAAGAAAUAACGGCAAUAACGGCAAUGGUUGGAAUGGGAUAGCGAAGAAAUGUUGCGCUUUUUUCCUUUGUUACUGUGUCGAUGGGUUUAAGAAAAGAUAGAAGAGGGGUUUGAGAGAGAGAGAGAGAGAGAAGUUGAGAGGAACAAAGAGUGUAGUUUUGUUUUGUUGAUACUCGACAGAACAUAAAAAUGAAAGAUGAGAUAGAAAAUAGAUUUGUUUGUUGGUUUUUGUUUUUGUUGUUGAGGUGAAGCGAUGGUGCAAGAAGGUGUGAUGUGUGUGCCUCUAUUUAUAAAGAGUUCAUCGCUUCAUUGGUUGAGAUGUUCG